rnacentral:lncRNA from 1 species
GCCCAAACCCCUCACCUAAUACAUGACCCGCGUAACCCAACCCAAGAAUCUCAACCCAAUCCGUUCCUAAUUAAAAGAAAAAGGGUUUAAUCUCUAAAAUCCCAAAGAACACCCACGCGACUAUGCUUCUUCUUCUCCAAAAGCACCCAAAUCCAGCCGUGAUAAUGUCCAAAUUCGAGCGAUUAAACCUCAAAUCUCUCCUCAUGCAUUCUCCUUUCUCUCCUCUUACCACGGAUAACCGUUUCUGACAUUGAAGAUUCUCAUUCCCUUCACUCGCUCAAUUUGGAGAUAAGUCACGCGAUUUGGAGAUAAGGCACGCAGUUUGGGUAUAUUCAGCCAGUAGAAGCUGAGUUUGAAGGGUCGUCUUCUGUGCUUUCGUUUUAGUUGCUAUCGUGAUAUCGAGUUUUCAUGUAAGUCAGGAUUUCGAGUCAAUUUUCCGGGUCGAAGUCUAUUGGGAUGGUUUUGGUGUGGAAAUAGGACAGCCUAUUCAAGGUUGGAUGUCUGCUUGAGUCGCUGCAUCACUCAACAUUAUCAGCUCUUUCUCUGUUGAUUUGAGCUUUCAAUUUGUUGUGCCAAGAUCAAUAUAGGAUUUGUGGUUCCUUUUUAGCUUUAAUAUAAGAUCAUAAAAUCAGUAAACAAUUGUUUUUUGGUGUUCAUCACGACCUGCUAUGAAAGUUGAUAAAUAAGCAAUUCAGUGCUUGUUUUAAAGAUGUAAUUGGUCUAAAUUGCAGCUGUCAAAGGGAGUGUCAUGGUUGGGCUUAUUGCAGCUUCAUUUCUUCCUAACACAAUCAGAAAUAGAUAGAUUUUGUGGUUAUUCAUGAACAUCUCACUUGUCUGGCCAAGUUUAACAUAGAGUGAAUUCUGAAAUUGUCCUUUACAGCAUGAGACAAGUCUUGUCUGGUUUCAUGUACUAGCUUUUUGCCUUGCUGACUGAUAAUUGCACUCGAGAAUCCUCUUUACUAGACCCAAUACUGUUGGCGUCCUUGGUUGAUGUUCUGAUUGGUUUGUUUUUUGAUUCUCUGCUUUAUCUUAACAUGAUUAAACCAUCAUAAGGUAAGAUCAAAAUGUGACUAAAGUUAAGGAUUCUAUCAAUUUGUUUAGAAAUAGAUAAUGGGAGUUAAGGCCAGUAGAAUCAGAUUGUUACGAGUUGAAGCAUCAAUGAGUUUACAGGGACCCCCUAUCAUUAAAUACGUUAUGUGUUGUUGAGGGCAAUCACAUUUCUUCUGCUCAAUUCCUUUCCCAAAGCUGCUUAAACUCGUUUCAUUCGUUUCUAAACAGCAUGGACAAAGGCUUCCAGUUGAAUGCUUUAAAUGUUUGAUUUUCCAAAGUCUCGUGUUUGUUUUGUUUAAUAUUUAUUUGGAGUAUGAAUGUUCUGUUGGCAGAUUGUAAUGUCUCGUGUUUGUUUUGUUUAAUAUUUAUUUGGAGUAUGAAUGUUCUGUUGGCUGAUUUAAAUUCUUGAAAGUCAAAGUGCUAAAAUGUGUUCUUUGUGAAGACGUUUGGUACCUAUGUCUUCUGUUGUCAAGAUGUUUUAUUCAAACAUCUCAAUGGUAAUCCUUUUAUUGGAGGUUUUCUUACCUAUGCUGGAUUCACUGUGUUUUGGGGCAUUUGUUUAGACCGAUAGCCAACUGAAAACCUGCCCGGUUUUGCACUUUUUAGGCAGC